rnacentral:rRNA from 1 species
GAUGAACGCUGGCGGCGUGCCUAAUACAUGCAAGUCGAGCGAACAGACGAGGAGCUUGCUCCUCUGACGUUAGCGGCGGACGGGUGAGUAACACGUGGAUAACCUACCUAUAAGACUGGGAUAACUUCGGGAAACCGGAGCUAAUACCGGAUAAUAUAUUGAACCGCAUGGUUCAAUAGUGAAAGACGGUUUUGCUGUCACUUAUAGAUGGAUCCGCGCCGCAUUAGCUAGUUGGUAAGGUAACGGCUUACCAAGGCAACGAUGCGUAGCCGACCUGAGAGGGUGAUCGGCCACACUGGAACUGAGACACGGUCCAGACUCCUACGGGAGGCAGCAGUAGGGAAUCUUCCGCAAAGGGCGAAAGCUUGACGGAGCAACGCCGCGUGAGUGAUGAAGGUCUUCGGAUCGUAAAACGCUGUUAUUAGGGAAGAACAAAUGUGUAAGUAACUAUGCACGUCUUGACGGUACCUAAUCAGAAAGCCACGGCUAACUACGUG